AUGGAGACCGGCUUUAUCUACACGUGACCAUUUGCUUCAAGGCCCCUUGGUGGACCCUCGCUGUCAGAAAGUGCAGCUCUAGCCAGAAGAUCCUUGGGCCUCUGGGCUGCCAGGCACAGGAGCACAGCAGGGUGGGCCACAGGCCUCCCAAGGCAGCUGAGGGCACUGCGUGGGCCCUGGCUGCUCAGCCUCAUCUCCUGAGAGCAGGUGUGUGAACCCAGGGCCUCCUGCUGGGCGGGCACUGUGUGGUGUGUUGGCUCCACAGACACAGAAGUGGGGCACCCUACUGUAUCCUUCUCCCCCACUGAGAUUCUCGGUGACUGCACCAAUGAGAAUGGCAAGAGGGAGAUUUCAGAGCCACCAGAAACCUGACAAAAGGUGUUUCUUUAUUGUUUCUUUCCCUUCAAAGGACUUGGAAUGGGGAUGUAGCAGGAGCUACAGUCACAGGCAGACACCAACAGUGUCUCAGGCUGAAGACCAAGACUCUGAAUCCCUGGUUCCUCCUUAGGACCUGGGACCUGCCUCUCUCCAGCAGGGACACCAGGCAUGACUGGAGGGAGGUUGGGGACAGACUCAGGGCCUGGUGGAACCUGGAGCAGGGCAAGCAUGUGCUUCGAGGGAGAGCAGCAGACCCAGGCUUUAAUGGGAGCCUUUCCGCACACAGACCUCAGUCUUCUCUGAGCGUCGGGUUCCCCUUCUGUGCAGUGAAGGGGGGCUAUCAACAGGGCUGGUGAGAAGAUGAAGGGGGACAGUGCUGGUGAUGGGACUAGGCACACAGCAGAUGUGCUGCUAGAGCCUGACUUUCCUUCCUCAAGUCUGCCUGGUGCAUCCUGGGUACUUAGGGAUUCAAGCAACCUCAUUCACAGAUGACAGCGAGGACAGAGCUCCUCAGUAUGGGAACUGUAGGACCAUCUAUCCCUAAAGGCCAUGGUGAUGACGUUGCUCCCUCUGAGGACACAGCCUUGUGGGCCUCGAAGGCUGUUCAGGUUUCUGGGUGACCUCGAGAAAUGCAGCCAUCCCUGGGAUGUCACCCCGAAGCCUCCACAAGCUGUGCACAUCGAGAUGGAGGGGCAGGCAUCCAGGAGCGAGGUGCGCCAGAAAUGUGAGACAUCGGUGGGAAAAAGAACCACAACAAACAGACUCAUCCAUUUUGCCAAAAACUGGCUACCCUCCCUGGAUAACCCACAAUUAUGUCAAGCGGUUAACAGGAUUCUCAUGAUGGAAUGGGUCUUAUUUCCUACCUUGAUCCUAUUUGCUGGGAAAACGAAUUCUGUAAAGUCUCUUGAAGUCGACUGUCAAAGUAAAGCAUUUUGGGGAAGACAGAUCUCUCAC
rnacentral:lncRNA from 1 species